rnacentral:pre_miRNA from 1 species
UUACUACUCCCUCCGUCCCAAAAUAAGUGACUCAACUUUGUACUAAAGCUAGUACAAAUUUGAGUCACUUAUUUUGGGACGGAGGGAGUAUCUU